AAAUAACACAAUAUAUUUCCCCAUAUAUUCCCGGUAAUACGGACUGGGAGUCUCUACAGAGUAACCUUAAAUUACUCUACUAUGGACGGUGCUUCUGACAUA
rnacentral:ncRNA from 1 species